AAAAGCAGCCGGUGCCGCAGGAUAUCCUGCGGAGAAUAGGGAAACAGGUGGAAAUCCUGUGCGAUCUCGUCACUGUGAGCAGAAGUGCAAUGCCAAAGAUGUCACUGAGAAAUCGGGAAGGCGGCAGAGCGCGUUAUAGCUGUGAGUCAGGAGACCUGCCGGCUGUG
rnacentral:ncRNA from 1 species